rnacentral:rRNA from 1 species
UACGUAGGGUGCAAGCGUUAAUCGGAACUACUGGGCGUAAAGCGUGCGCAGGCGGUUUUGUAAGUCUGUCGUGAAAUCCCCGGGCUUAACCUGGGAAUGGCGAUGGAGACUGCAAGGCUAGAGUUUGGCAGAGGGGGGUAGAAUUCCACGUGUAGCAGUGAAAUGCGUAGAGAUGUGGAGGAACACCGAUGGCGAAGGCAGCCCCCUGGGUCAAAACUGACGCUCAUGCACGAAAGCGUGGGGAGCAAACAGG